UUAAUCAUAAAAACAUGGUGAUCAUGUGAAACCACAUACAGCCAGAAUGACUUGUGCCAAGUUGCAAGAGUUUGGAUGGGAAAACUUCCCUAUCCAGCAUAUUUCCCUGACCUUGCACCAUCUGAUUCUGUUUUGCAGCCUUGAACGUUAUCUUUCUGGAGAAAAACUUCAAAAUGUCAAGAUCACCAAACCUUGUCAGAGUUUUUUAGAUCAAAAUCCACAGAAGACUUCAAGUCUAGCAUUCAAAAACUUGAACAGUGAAAUAAGGUUGUCACUUAUAAUGUAAGGGUCCUGCAACAUAGGUAGACUGGUGUCCUGAGUUUGUUUUAUCAUUUGAUAAUCCAUCUUCUGACACCAGUGUAAGUGAAUGGCUGAUAUAAAAAUGUGUAUCGAUAAAUUUUAGGGUAUUUUUGAAUAAAGGUCAUGAGUAAAUAA
rnacentral:lncRNA from 1 species